rnacentral:ncRNA from 2 species
CAUUAUUGGGAAAGCAAUGAACCACUGCCUGUACAUGGUCACUUGGGCAGCGGGGAGCUAGUAGUGAAACCGACCCAGAGCGGG